ensembl:lncRNA
UGGCUGGGGGAUCUCCUUGGGAUUAUUCUGGGAUGGGAGCUUGGGAAAAGCAGGAGCGAGCCUUGGAAUCCAGGCUGGAAGUGUGGAGGUUUUUCACAGGAAAGGAGGACCCUGUGAAACAAUAUUGGUAAAACAUGAGGAGGACCUGGUGGGCGUGGGUUGGGUGGACAUGAAUGGGGAAAUGCAGAGGCUGGGAAAGUGAUCUGAGCGGGAGCAGUGAGGGGCUAAGGUCAGGAACGGGAGGGAAGAACAGGUAGGAGGAAUUGAGCAAACGCAUGACUGACAGGACUGAGCGAAUGAUUAAGUAUGUGGGUGGAGUUGGCGGUGGGGUCAGAGGCAGCCCUGAGAGCCUGCCAGUGGCUGAGAGAAGGACAGCAUCUUCCAGGAGAAAGGAAAACCAGAAGGAGACACACGUAGGAAUGAGGUGAGACUGGUGACUUGGGGCAACGGCAGGACAUUCCAUUGGGGUUUAAAUAAGCAGGCUCGGAAUGUUCCAGAGCUGGGAGAGUGGUGAGAACUGGAGGUCCUGAACCAAGAGUUACCUCGGGGAAUUUCCCAUCUCUGUGAAGUGCUGUGACAGGUUGACUCCGUCUCUCCGGGGGAGCGUCCUCCUCAGGGACGGCACAGUGAGCCACCCUGACCCUCUCCGUCACCUCUUUGUGCAGGGUCAGGUGUAGGGUCAGUGGAGGAUGAGGGCCUGGCCGUCACCACCUCUCUGCCCACGCCCGUUUUUGCAGGGGGGAUCUGCCUGGUGGGUGUUCUGUUUCUCCUCCCUCUUGAAUUCCAGGAAGUCUGUUUAUGUCAAUCAGCACAUGCCUGAGCAUUGGCCAGCCCCGAGGAAGCCAGGAAUGCCCCCAGGUAUUUCCUUCAUGAGAGCUUGGGUCCAGCAUUCCUCUUGGCUUUCCAGUCUCCAUAGUGGGAAAGCUCCCCAACGUGAAACCCAAGUCCUUCUCUUCGCUCUGUGAGAUGUCAAGAAACCAGAGGCUGGGAGGCCUUCACAAAUGCUGGACAGAUGGCUGGUGUCCAUGUAUAUGGAGGAGCAACUCUUAGACUGUUUGUAGAAGCUCCCUGACUUCACGAGGACUGACCGGAUCCUCGUCUGUGAUUCCAACUAAUUCAACUCCUGAUUGUCCACAUGUGUUUGUCCAUCGGGGCCAUAUGGGCAUCUGCUCGCCACCUGGCCAUCUGUGUGAUGAGUACCCAAUUAUGACCGCAGCAGCUGCCUGUCCCCACGGUGACCCAGCUGCAACUGGCCGUUAACAGGCAAUGGGCCUCUCUCAAUUCUGCUAUGAUUACGAGAGGCUGAGAGCUGGGGAAAUGUUUCCACGAAGGAUUUGGGGCCCUCAGCGGACAGGAUGAUGCCCACCUGAAUUGGAGGGAGCCGUAUUCUUUGCUCAGUCUAUUGAAUCAAAUGCUAACCUCUUCCAGAAACACCCACACAGACACAGACAUAAUAUUUUACCAGCUAUCUGGGCAUCCCUGAGUCCCGUCAAGUCGGCACAUAAAAUGAACCAUCACAGAUGCGAACCUCCUUAGCAGUGUAUUUCAAAUGGGGGCGGGGAGUCCAUCAAUCAAAAUGCAGAUUCCCAGGCCUCACUUGGAUGCCACGGAUCAGAACUGUGGGAGACGUGGCGCUCUAAUACGUGGUUCUCACCAGCAUCUCAGGGGAUUGUCAUGCAGCUGAAGUUUGAGAUGCCCGUGCCUUAGAAAUGAUGCCGGUCUAAUGGUGCCCUCUCCCGGCAGUGGGGAAGCUGAAGUUGGGAGAGAUGUUGAGCGUGGCUUGGUCACAGGCAGGCACAGCACUGCUGAGCCAUGUCUGGGAGGGCACUGAGAACUCUCUGAGGAGGCUUCUCAAACCCGCUGUGCAUUGGUAGAACCCAUGCAGCUUUGAAAAGCUGCUCGUGCCUGGGCUCCGCCCCAGAGGUUCGGGAUUUGUUGAUCUGGGAUGGGUCCAGGCAUGGUGCGCUGUGAAAGUCUUCCCGUGCUAUUAAUGGUGUGCGGUGUUGAGAACAGCAGGUCUCAGCGUCAGGUUUUGGAGGCAGAGAUGGAGGCAGGUGGUGUGCUUGGUAUUAUGGUGCUCGCAGCAUCACAAGAUUCACUGUCCUUCGGGGUGCCGGGAGGACUGUACUUCCCCAUCCCUGUGAAAUUAGGCUUGGCCAUGGGACCAGUUCUGGCCAAUGGAUUGGCAGAAGUGAUGCCACUUCUGGGGGGGGGGGGCGGAAUAUAGGUGCUGAUGUGAGUGGCCCCUGCUGUCCUGUGACCACACUGGACCUGUGGUGUGAGUGAGAAAGACGUCUCGUUUGCAGUUGCUGAGGUCCUGUUUGUCUCUGGGUUAUACCCUGACCUCGCCUGACAGACACACCUGGUUUCAUAAAAAGUUAGUAAAGCUAACGAUAGUUCUGCAUCCUAAAUGCCUUCUCCAUUGCCUUAAUAGAAUAAAUAAACUCUUUUCUUUUUUCCUCCUGUUUUGUUGUUGAAAUCCCGUUGAAAGAUGGAGCCAGGCUUUUGAUGCUAAAAUGUUUCCCAUUGCUUAGUCAAGGCUGUGUAUUCAGUUCAUGGAACUUGCUUAUUCAGUUUGUCCUGAGGAGACGAGUGUUAUGUCAGGCAAAAAAUCCUAAAUGAUUAGAGCAAAUGGUGGUCUUUUCUCACUGAGAAAAAUGUCUGCAGAAAAUUGAUUGAUCUUGACUGAUAUGUGUGCCGGAGCUCUGUUCUUUUGACUUUUACAAGGGAAAUCUCAAGUUAGGGAAAAGGAAGAAAACAUACCACUUGCUUUAAAAUGCAUUUUUUUCAGGAGAAAAUUUAGCAGCUGUGAUGGUUAUGCUGCUUUUGGUAAGAAUGUUUUCCAAUGUAUAAUACAUUAGACUUACCACAAGCCUCCUGCCAGGGUGAAGCUUGCACUAAGCAAGUGGCGACUCUUCCUGGAUUGAAUUCUUGGCUGGAGGGAUGGUUAGGCUUGGGGAAGACAUGGAGAAUGAUAGGUGAAUAGAAAAGAGUUUAUUGAGUUCAGGUGUCCUGACAUUUGCAUUUUGUGAAAUUUCUGUUCAUGCUUCAGGGAGAAAUAAUUUAAAAAUACUAGUAAGAGUAGGCAGCCUUUACAAAAAUUCAAUACAUGUUUUAAAAUUAUUUUUCUGGCUCUGAACUGCUAUUUAGGGCUGAAUUAUUAUAUGGCUCUUUUUCAAAAUUCACUUGACAAUGGGCAAUUUGAUUUUUCUGAAAUAUUUUAUCUACAGAUAGGAAGCUUGUAGAUACUGAAAACCUCUGAGAAUCUGGGAAGAGAGAAUGAGACUGACUUGCUCCUGGCUUUAGCCCCAGUUAGAGAAGCGUCUGGGUUGUGCUAUUAUGUGUUCCAGAGGUGCUUCCAUGUCUGGGGCAGCAUGAUCCUGAAUGAGAAGGGACCCGAAAGGGCCUGGAGCACCUGCCCUUUAUGUUUGCAUGUUAUCUGCCCAGCCCAGCAGGUGCCUUCCUCCUCGGGGAGCUCACAAAGCAGACAGAGCUGUUUCUGAUAAGAUCCCUGGGAAGAUGUUCACAAGGGCACGAAGUUGCGCCUAUGAAGGGGGCUGGUUUUUCCAAUCAGCACUGUAGUAAGAACGGGCUGGCACAUUCACCCUGGGCCCGACCUCCCUGGGAGCAGGCUUGGGUGGUAGAGACUAGACGGGCCACAGCCACCUGGAAACUUCUGUCCGAUUGCUUCUCUCUCUUCCUCCUAGGACCAUUCUCUCUGGGAGAAGGUAAGCAGUGUGCAAGAGGGAAGAACAGCUAGUCAGACACUUGUCCUGGAAAAAGAAUGGAACCAGGCUGAGGAUGUAGAUUCUCUCACUGGCUGGCCUUUGGGGUGGGGACCACCGUGGCCUCUGGAUCAAUUUGGAAUCUCUGGGCUCCGGGAGACUCAGGUGAAAUCCUGCUUCCCUCCCUUGGGCUGUGUUCCCCCUGACUGCUUUGAGCUACUAGUAUCUUGGUGAAAGCCGUGGGCAUACUAAUCAAUGGGGGUUUUAAUGCUGUGGGGUUAAAAAUAAGCGGAUGCAGCUGGUAUGUUGUUUUAGGCUCAUGGCCAGGCAGGGUCCCAAGUCCUCUUCAUGGGGAGGGGGUCCAAAGGUGAGGGAGCAGACCCACUCCAAUGGGGGAAGGAGCCAGAGCUCCCCUCCAUGAGGCCUCCCCCAGUCUCUCCUUCCUCCUCCUCUGUGGGAAAAUGGAGGGAAGGAUCCGAGCGGGGAGAGGUGGGACAGUGGGAGGAGGAUGAUGUGGGAGGGGGAGAGGAGGUGGUGUACGGAGGGGUAGGACUCUCCAGACCACAGCUUGUUUGAUGGAUUUUGGCGAAGCCUGGGCGCUCGGCUCUGCCGGUGCCUUUUGGGCAGCACCAGCGCUGAGGAAUCACCUUAUUUACAGUCCUGAGGCAUCUGCCUUCUCUUCCUGGGUAAGUAGACUUCUAAGAUGUCAGGGCAAACCCACAGUCCCUCUCGCCGUGAACCAAGCUCCACCUCCUUGCUUGGCCUCUGGAGAAACGUGAGGAGCUCUGUUCACCGUGCAAAGUGCUGCCAUUGCGUUGGUGCUCAGGGUCCUUGUCACACAGCGGCUUCUCUGUGUGCUCCUUGAACAGAAGCCAACCUGCUGGCCUGUAAAACAGUGGAAAGGCAUUGCUCUCCAACCACACUGGGAAAAAUGCCCUUUAAAGAAAACCAUCUUCUAAGGGCCUCACAAAAUGACACAUUGUAAUAGGAAUAACGUGUGGAAAAUGGCCUGUUUUCUCUUCUGGUUGCUGUUCUCUUCAACAGCUGUUUAAUUGUAUUGGUCAUGUUGUUCACUAGCUUUGGAAGAUGAAAAGCCUGCAAGUGUUUGCUGAAAUCAAGGCUCCAAUGUCAAUUAUUUCCAUUUUCAGUUUCAAUGCAGCAUUUAUUCUUAUGUGUGAACGGCAGCACCGCUUUCUGCUCUUGGCUGGGGGAGGCACACGGCAGGUGGGGAGAUCACUCUGACCCACGGUGGACUCAGCUGCAUCAGAACCAUCAGCAACUCAAAUAGCAGAGCUCCCUUGAACCCCACGCUUCACACAUGUAUCUGGAAUGACGAUGGGGGUUUUGUACAAAAGCAACCCUCAGGAGCAGGAUGUAAUUUCCUCAAAGUAGUCAUUCGAGCCAUCAUAGCUCAGGAAUAUGAGAACAGGAAGGUUUUGUGGACAUAGACAAGACAAUGAAGGAAAUGAAACACUAUGGGGCCGACGUUCCCAGGUCCUGGUGGGGUUCCGGAUCCUUCUGGAAGGAGGGCUCCUUUGCAUGUUGUGAGCAGUGGGCUUUGCUGGUGGGGGAGGCCAGGACUUGGCUGCUCUCCUUUCCAGUGCCCGACCACCAACAGGCUCCACCCAGGAGGCAGUCAUAUCGCCACACCAUUGUCACAGGGGCUGGGGUACCGAAAGUGGUCAAGGUAACCGGCUGCUGGUGUUUUAUGUAUGUGGAAAGUUUAUAGAACUCAUUUCCCAAUUGUUUAUUUUGGUAAAAAUGUUGACUUGGGGGCUGGCCCCGUGGCCGAGUGGUUAAGUUCGCGCACUCCGCUGCAGGCGGCCCAGUGUUUCGUCAGUUCGAAUCCUGGGCGCGGACAUGGCACUGCUCAUCAGACCACGCUGAGGCAGUGUCCCACAUGCCACAACUAGAAGAACCCACAACGAAGAAUACACAACUAUGUACCGGGGGGCUUUGGGGAGAAAAAGGAAAAAAUAAAAUCUUUAAAAAAAAA